GACGAACGCUGGCGGCGUGCUUAACACAUGCAAGUCGAACGGAAAGGCCCCUUUGGGGGUCCUCGAGUGGCGAACGGGUGAGUAACACGUGAGUAACCUGCCCUUGACUUCGGGAUAACUUCAGGAAACUGGGGCUAAUACCGGAUAGGAAUCCUUGCUGCAUGGUGGGGGUUGGAAAGCUUCGGCGGUUUUGGAUGGACUCGCGGCUUAUCAGCUUGUUGGUGGGGUAGUGGCUUACCAAGGCUUUGACGGGUAGCCGGCCUGAGAGGGCGACCGGCCACAUUGGGACUGAGAUACGGCCCAGACGCCGACGGGAGGCAGCAGUGGGGAAUAUUGCACAAUGGGCGGAAGCCUGAUGCAGCAACGCCGCGUGCGGGAUGACGGCCUUCGGGUUGUAAACCGCUUUCAGCAGGGGCGAAGCUUGUGGUGACGGUACCUGCAGAAGAAGCACCGGCUAACUACGUG
rnacentral:rRNA from 1 species